CAGCACGAGUCUCUGCUAAUUUUGUGUUUCAAAUCUUAACGUCAAGUAAUAAAGUCUGCGUUUCUUUCAGUUAUAGUCGGCGUUAGGUUCCGCUUUUCUGCGCAAACGAAUUUUGCCGAUGCAACUUAUAUAAGUGGUAGUACUUUCAAAAAUAAAAAUCAUUUAAAA